rnacentral:lncRNA from 1 species
UCUGAACUAACUCUGCAGGUUCUGAAACUGGACUCACUGCUGACCUCCCUGAUUCCUCUGAUCCGUACCUACACAGGUGGACUCAAAUGAGGGACCAAACUAACUCAAGAACACCUCUAAGAAACUCCCCAAAAACCCUCUAAACGAUCCUCAAACAAUCACAGAAAACAUGCAAAAGAAAGCUGGACAGGGCACGUUCGGCGGCCGAAACCCCUCUUCAGAGACGAAACUCAUGUAUGUUCGGCGGCACCUUCGGCAGCCGAAAGUCUCGUCCAGAGACGAAACUCAACCUUCGGCGGUACUUUUGGCGGCCGAACCUUGCCUCCAGAGACGAAAGUCCCAAGUUUCGGGGGCAAGCUUUGAUAGCCGAAACUGCCUCCACAAGGGGUUUGGCGGCCGAACCUUCCUUCGGCGGCCGAACCUGGUUUUGCCUAACGGGCAGAACCCUGCUCUGUUUCAUGCCAUCUUUUCCCCAACUCCUCUCAACAUGCAUAUCAACUACUCCCAACUAGCAUAUACACCUAUAUAUGCACAAAGGGGUCUAAAACGAACCUACAACCCCAAACAAACAUAGCACAUAACACUCAAACAUGCUUGAACACCAAAGAUUACCAAAAACCUCACCUAAACCUAAACAUGCAUACUACCCACACAACCUUCAUAAAACCUUCAAAAAUCAUCAAAGAAGCUCAGGAUCUUCACUUACCUCUUAAGGAACUUGAGGAUGAAGGAUCCUAACGUGGAGAUAUGGAGAAAUCCUCUCUCAAAGCUCCAAGCUUCAAAACUUGGUUAGUUUGCUCAAAUCUUCAAAACAACAACAAAACUCUUAAAACCUUUGAAGGAUUUGGUGAAAAACAUGAAAAUCAUCAAAGUCAACGUGAGAAGGUUUUGGCUCACCUCUGGCUGCAAGUGGAGGAGAAAUAUCCUCCUUCCACCGACCUUUGGCCCUUAAAUAGGUGGCUGGCCAGACCACCUUUGGCAGCCGAACGUGAAUCCGAAACCAUGCAAUGUUCGGCGGCCGAAAGUGACCUUCGGCGGCCGAACCUUUGCAUUUCUCCCUUAUUGCUUUUCUUUCAAAACUCAAUUUCUUUCACACUUGAAAACAUUCAAAACUCUUAAAACACACAUGAAAACAUAUGUCUUACCCUUCUCGAGGGUUCCGACAUCCGAGAUUCCACCAGAUGACAGGAAUUCUGAGGCCGAACUCGAGCCGGGUAUUACAAUUUGGAUUUAUUUCUGAAGCUGGCAAAUCUAGGUCUGAGUAUUAACAAAGUCAACAUAAGAGUGAAUUUCCAGGAAUUAGGUCUUAACCAAUUUUGCAGGCAAUUGUCCUUGGCGAUGCUCCCUCAAUAAAUUGCUUGUUGAAUUGAAAAUAUAUAACAUGUCAAUGUGAGUAUUCACUUGCAAGCCAAAAAAAAAUACAGCACUGCAAUUAAAGCAGUUUUGAUAAACAUCCCCCCACCACUGGAGCCUUCAUCAUAUUCCAUUUCACCAACCACAACUUAUCUGGCCUGGCUUCUACUACGUUGCCCCGGCCGCCGCUAACAUCACCGUUGUUGCGUUCGCCUCCGAAUUAAAUACUU